UGUCAGCACUUGUUAUUAUUAUUAUCGUCAUGUUUGUCUCGUUAGUAUGUUUAGUGGUCUUCAUGUUCAUUAAAUAAUGUAUUGGUCUCAUCGUUACGAUGAACGUGACAAUGGGUGUGUGGUACCCUUCCUCACCAUGCCAACAAAAUGUUACUUCUUGUGGGGUCUUUGCCUUGGAAUUUGCUGAAUGUGUUCUGAAGGAGGAGUCGAUUGUCUUUUUCAAAUGGGGACAAAAAUGUUAACAUCAUGAGAGAGGAAAUAGCAGUCACACUCUUCAAACACUGACUACUAGACAUUAUGACAUUGCUAGAUGACCUGAGCCAACUGUGCCACUGUGGGGAGAUGGACAAUGAAGACACUAACUGGAUUGGUUGUGUCCGCUGCCCACGAUGGUUCCAACAGUCCUGUAUGAAAACCAUCCCACCAUUGGAGGAUAAUGUCUGCGCUGCCUGUCAGGACUAGGUUAGGCUUGAGUUUCAUAAAUAUAGAGAUUAAACUUUCCAUAAAAAUUGGAUUAAUGUUCAGUUGAGCUGUUGCAGCUUUUCAAUAUUUGUUUAUGCUAUUUAUUGUCAUUUAAUAUCUUAUUAUGCAAAGAUUGAAAUUUGUAUUUCAUAUUUUUUAUUUAUUUUUAUUUUACCUUUAUUUAACCAGGUAGGCAAGUUGAGAACAAGUUCUCAUUUACA